ACCCCUACGGGACGCAGCAGUGGGGAAUAUUGCCCAAUGGGGGAAACCCUGAUGCAGCGACGCCGCGUGAAGGAUGAAGUAUUUCGGUAUGUAAACUUCUAUCAGCAGGGAAGAAAAUGACGGUACCUGACUAAGAAGCCCCGGCUAACUACGUGCCAGCAGCCGCGGCAAUCCGUAUGGGGCAAGCGUUAUCCGGAUUUACUGGGUGUAAAGGGAGCGUAGACGGCAUGGC
rnacentral:rRNA from 1 species